CUGAGACAACUAAAAGGCAAGUUACCAUACCAGGGAUAAGUCCUUUCAACAAGAGUCUCUCUGAGUGUUGCUCAUUUGUGUACUCUCUCUGUCCUCCAGAAAACAUUAUAUAGAAGGAAAGUUCUCCAAGAUCAAGAAACACUGUGCUGUGUUUGGUGCAAAAGUAGAACUCAGACCUAUUCCAGAAGCCAGAGAUUGAGCAUCACAUUCAACGCUUCUGAGAUGCAUGCAGUUUCCAUGCUGUUGCUGUUUCUGCUGCCACCCUUACCACAGAGGGAGUCAUACCACUGGUCACAUUUAAAAACUGGAUCAGCUAGGGCUGAGCCUCCUGAUCAGGGGGCUGUCUAUGGCAGCGACAGGGGUUCCUCUGGUUAGGAUGGACGUGGAUUUUCUACUCUUCUCCUUCCCCAUGUCCUGGUGCAAUUCAGCCAAAGGUGUGUCCUUAACAAACUGUGGCCAUAUUUUGGCCUCCAAGCAUGUGCAUAAACAAGUCUUUAAUCUUUGAAGGCUUUUGAGGAUGAUGAAGGAUUACAAACUCUUGUAGUCUGUUUAAUGAUUCAUUAAUGUCCCCAAUUUAUCAAAGAAUUGGUAUUCUAUUUACUUUAAAUGCUGCAUAUUUCUCAACAUAUUUACAUGAUAUUUACACAAUUAUACAUCAAAACUUAUUUAAUUAAAAGUUUCCAAUUGAUUGCAAAUUAAUCUUCUAGAUAGUUAUCAUAUUCUAAUAUUAUAAAUCCAUUAUAUCAGAUUUUCUUAAAGCUUCAGAUACUUUAAAAAACAACCCAAAUAUCACAGUGAUUAUUAAACUAAUUAUUAAACUUAUGUUAAAAACCAUUUAUGAAAGUACUAGUACCCAGACUUAUUUCUUACAUCUGUUUGUAUCCUUAUUCUUUCUUUAAUCUUAAUUUCUCACUUAAGUUCUUUUCCUAGGAUUUCCACCCCCAAAGGAAAAAAAAAUCAGUCAUUUAGAGCAGCCAAGACUGUGGGAUGUGAGCUGUAAAGUCUUGAGCAGGACCAGGAACUGGUACCUUAAAUCCUAGCCUCGGGGGUUCAUGCUGAAGCUGAAGCCCUUUGACAAUUCAGCUUAAUUUUUAGUUGCCUGGAAUUGGUGUAGAUUUUAAUUUUCGGAAGGAAGGUGUCUUUUUCCAGAAAUGAUGGACCCGUAAGGCUUGUACACUGUCUCCCUGACCCUUUGCCCUGUGACUGUGGUUCUUGGGCAUGGUUAGGAUCCCUGCAGGUGUAUCUUUAUGAUUAGCUUGAGGUCAAGUUGAGCCAGUCAGCGUCAUCUUCGGAACAUCUGAUUUCUUUGUAAUCUUGGAACCCACAGUUGACUUCUUUGUAACUGGUUACUGUGAGUGACCAUGCCAGCUGGUCAAUUUUGGGUUUCUUCCCACAAGGCUCUGUCUGUGGCCUCUGGUCCUGGUCAGUGGGUCUUGUUCUUGGAACAGCAACUUACUUUUCCAGCUCUACUUGGCUUAGUCACA
rnacentral:lncRNA from 1 species